rnacentral:lncRNA from 1 species
AGGGGCUGACGGCUAGGGUUAGGGUUCGGUGUGAAGUGAAAUAUUUAUAUACAUGUUCCUUUAAUCUGAGUCGUUCAUCGUGUUUGAUCUCGACUGUCCAAUCGCGUUUAAAGAAAAAAUGAAUUUAGAUCAUUUAUCGUGAUUUGAUUUGGACCGUAUAAUCGCGUUUAAAGAGGGAACGAAUCCGAACCGUCCAAGCGCGCGAGAACAAAUAUGGACCGUCCGAUCGCGGGCACGCAGAUUGCCAGCGCAGCCUCUCGCAUGACACCACAU